rnacentral:lncRNA from 1 species
ACGUGUGACUUCACCAAGGACCAGCACAGAGUUCAAGGCUGCCUUCCGGCUGUUUGACUGAACAGGUGAUGGCAAGGUCCUUCCAGCCCCUGUGGGGGCGUGAUGAGGGCCCUGGGCCAGAACCCCACCAAUGCCACGGCGCUCGAGGUCCUGGGGAACCCCAAGAGUGAUGAGAUGAACGUGAAGGUGCUGGACUUUGAGCACUUCCUGCCCCUGCUGCAGACAGUGGCAGGGAACAGGGACCAGGGCACCUAAGAGGAUUAUGUGGAAAGACUUCAGGUGUUUGACAAGGAAGAGAAUGGCACCGUCAUGAGCGCGGAAAUCCAGCAUGUUCUUGUCUCACUGGGUGAGGAGAUGACAGAGAGAGGAGGAGAGAUGCUGGUGGCAGGGCAUGAGGACAGCAGUGGUUGCAUUGACUCCGAAGUGCUUGUCCGCAGGCUGCUGAAUGGCUGA